AAUAGCAAAGUUUGUCUUCUCUUAGCCUCUUUAAACAAAAGAAUAUUUCAAUUGAGUUUAGCAUGGCAACUGUCAGCCAUAAUGAUUUUGGGACUUUGAGUUGAAGUGCAAAGACAAAGGAAGGUCAUGUCAAAGGACUGUCUGGAUGGUAACUAAACAGAAAAUCAGCAUAGAGCCCAGACAGUCUGGACAGAGGUACCUCUCAUAGGCUGCAGAAGAACGGGAAGUGUGUAGUGAGACAUUGUGUCACAGGAGGCUUGUCAGUAAGCCAUGGUUCUCCCAGGAGCAAUGACACCACCACCACAGCUUUUGUGGAGACACAGGUGAUAUGGAAGCCUCCAGAAAGCACCAAGGACGAAAUAGGGAAGGGG